CCCUUAGACGUUCUGGGCCGCACGCGCGCUACACUGACCAGUGCAACAAGCAUCCGUCCUUGGCCGACAGGCUCGGGCAAUCUUUGAACGCUGGUCGUGAUGGGGAUAGACUUUUGCAAUUUUUGGUCUUCAACGAGGAAUUCCUAGUAAACGCAAGUCAUCAACUUGCAUUGAUUACGUCCCUGCCCUUUGUACACACCGCCCGUCGCACCUACCGAUUGAAUGGUCCGGUGAAGCCUCCGGAUUGGCGCGCACCUCGGUGCCGCCGAGAAGUUGGCUAGACCUUACCAUUUAGAGGAAGGUGAAGUCGUAACA
rnacentral:rRNA from 1 species